AACGUAGGAGACAAACGUUAUCCGGAGUUACUGGGCGUAAAGGGCGUGUAGGUGGUUAUGUAAGUCUGGCGUGAAAUUUUUCGGCUUAACCGGGAAAGGUCGUCGGAUACUGCAAGACUAGAGGACGGUAGAGGCGUGUGGAAUUCCGGGUGUAGUGGUGAAAUGCGUAGAGAUCCGGAGGAACACCAGUGGCGAAGGCGGCUUCCUGGACCGGUUCUGACACUGAGGAGCGAAAGCGUGGGGAGCGAUCCGG
rnacentral:rRNA from 1 species